UCUAUACAGUUCUAUACAGUCCAGGAAAGAUUCGGUGCCCCAAAAAUGCUGUUCGGAAUCCUCGUCUACAAGAGGCAGGUCGUCAACUAAAGAAAGGGGGGCGGUGACCCGAGGUUUUCCAGGUCCCACGUCUGGCGUAUGAAAGCAACUUGUGAAUAUUUGAUGCGACCCGACUGCUGUGCUCCCGCGAAACGCCUCUCGGAUUGACUUCGCUUUUCAUGCAGCACUGCCCUGGGGGCUUUUUGUGUCCUGAGGGCGCCAGGGUUCAACCUCGGGCUAAAAGGUUGGGGGUUCUUUUCAGGCGCAUGCCAUCAUCCUCCAAGUACAGAGGGAGACGUUCUGGCUGUCGCUGGGGAGGCGGUGACAAAUCUACAAUGGCAGAAGUGGGAGUUGACGAAAAACGAAACAGAACCUCUCGGUCCUGCAGUGCGAGUAUGCCUGUCUGGAUGGAGAAGAGGACAACAGGAUGGAUAUAUUUCCCUCAGGCUGGGAUGAGUGACAAGCAGACAGAGGAAGAACCCCCCCGGGACUACAGCGAUGGCACAGGAAAGGAAGAAGAAAAUUCAAACACACACCCCGAUUAUGUGUGCCAAAGAGGAACUGAUUGCCUUAAUCUUAAACCCAAUAUAACCCCAGUUAUCCCAAUAUCAACUAUUAUUUCAAUAUUAACAUUAAAUAUUAUGUAUUUUAAACAGUUUAUGCAAGUACUUGCAUAACAAAUUCCAUGGUUUCUCAUUGAAAACAUUUCCUGUAUUUAUGCCACAAGUGAAUGAAAUGAGUA